rnacentral:tRNA from 1 species
AGAAAUGUGGCUUAGUGGUAGAGUGCUUGCCUAGCAUGCAUGAAGCCCUGGGUUC